UACGAAGGGGGCGAGCGUUGUUCGGAAUUACUGGGCGUAAAGGGCGCGUAGGCGGCCAUCUAAGUCAGACGUGAAAUCCCCCGGCUUAACCUGGGAACUGCGUCUGAUACUGGAAGGCUUGAGUAUGGGAGAGGGAUGUAGAAUUCCAGGUGUAGCGGUGAAAUGCGUAGAUAUCUGGAGGAAUACCGGUGGCGAAGGCGGCAUCCUGGACCGACAUUGACGCUGAGGAGCGAAAGCUAGGGGAGCAAACGGG
rnacentral:rRNA from 1 species